AUGGACUUGAGGCUCAGCUGGUUUUUCCUUGUAAUUAUGUUGAGAGGUGUUCAGUGUGAGGUAGAGUUGCUGGAGUCUGGGGGAGGCUUAGUGCAGCCUGGAAGGUCCCUGACACUCUCCUGUGCAGCCUCUGGAUUUACCUUCAGUAAUGCUGGCAUGAGCUGGGUCCGCCAGGCUCCUGAGAAGGGGCUGGAGUGGGUGGCAUACAUUAGUUACAAUGGUGGUACCACCAGUUAUACUGACGCUGUAAAGGGCCGGUUCACAAUCUCCAGAGACAAUGCCAAGAACACUCUGCACCUGUAA